UACGUAGGGGGCAAGCGUUGUCCGGAUUUAUUGGGCGUAAAGAGCGUGUAGGCGGCUUGGAAGGUCAGCUGUGAAAACUCGAGGCUCAACCUCGAGACGUCGGUUGAAACCACCUGGCUAGAGUCCGGAAGAGGAGAGUGGAAUUCCCGGUGUAGCGGUGAAAUGCGCAGAUAUCGGGAAGAACACCCGUGGCGAAGGCGGCUCUCUGGGACGGUACUGACGCUGAGACGCGAAAGCGUGGGAAGCGAACAGG
rnacentral:rRNA from 1 species